UACGUAGGGUGCAAGCGUUGUCCGGAAUUAUUGGGCGUAAAGAGCUCGUAGGCGGUCUGUCGCGUCGAAUGUGAAAACCCGGGGCUCAACCCCGGGCCUGCAUUCGAUACGGGCAGACUAGAGUUCGGUAGGGGAGUCUGGAAUUCCUGGUGUAGCGGUGAAAUGCGCAGAUAUCAGGAGGAACACCGGUGGCGAAGGCGGGUCUCUGGGCAACAACUGACGCUGAGGAGCGAAAGCGUGGGGAGCGAACAGG
rnacentral:rRNA from 1 species